rnacentral:rRNA from 1 species
UGAGAAACCCGAAAGAUCGAAUGGGGAGAUUCAUCGUCAGCGAUCCAGGCGCGUGUGCGGUUCGUGAUGCCGCGGAACUUCGGUUCCGCGGUACACGUCCGUGUGGGUUUUUGCCUGGUGUCGUCGGCGUGCACUUCUCCCCUAGUAGGACGUCGCGACCCGUUGGGUGUCGGUCUACGGCCCGGAUGGUCGCCUGUCAUGCGUACGCGACGCCUCGCGGCGUUACGUGGCUGACAGACCACCGGUCGCCCGACCAGCUGCCCGGCGGUACUCGCACGGUAUCGAGCCGCAGUUUCUCGAACUGCGUCCGGCCCGCCGCAAGCGAGGCCAGCUGUUCCCGGAUGCACGGACCUAGCGCCGUCGCCGGGCCUGGCCAGCUGUUGGCUGGCGGUGUCCUGGGACUGGCUCAUUACGAAAAUACCGGUCGGCGACGCUACUGCUUUGGGUACUUUCAGGACCCGUCUUGAAACACGGACCAAGGAGUCUAACAUGUGCGCGAGUCAUUGGGUACUCUGAAGCCUAAAGGCGCAAUGAAAGUGAAGGUCGGCCUCGCGCUGACCGAGGGAGGAUGGGCCGCGUCACGAUGCGGCCCCGCACUCCCGGGGCGUCUCGUUCUCAUUGCGAGAAGAGGCGCACCCAGAGCGUACACGUUGGGACCCGAAAGAUGGUGAACUAUGCCUGGUCAGGACGAAGUCAGGGGAAACCCUGAUGGAGGUCCGUAGCGAUUCUGACGUGCAAAUCGAUCGUCGGAAC